GAUGAAGAACGCAGCGAAAUGCGAUACGUAAUGUGAAUUGCAGAAUUCAGUGAAUCAUCGAGUCUUUGAACGCACAUUGCGCCCCCUGGUAUUCCGGGGGGCAUGCCUGUCCGAGCGUCAUUGCUGCCCUCAAGCACGGCCUGUGUGUUGGGCCUCCGUCCUCCUCCCGGGGGACGGGCCCGAAAGGCAGCGGCGGCACCGCGUCCGGUCCUCGAGCGUAUGGGGCUUCGUCACCCGCUCUUGUAGGCCCGGCCGGCGCUUGCCGACACAUCAAUCUUUUUUCCAGGUUGACCUCGGAUCAGGUAGGGAUACCCGCUGAACUUAAGCAUAUCAAUAAGCGGAGGA
rnacentral:misc_RNA from 1 species